rnacentral:rRNA from 1 species
CCUACGGGGGGCAGCAGUGAGGAAUAUUGGUCAAUGGGCGCGAGCCUGAACCAGCCAAGUCGCGUGAGGGAGGACGGCCCUACGGGUUGUAAACCUCUUUUGCCGGGGAGCAACGGGCGCCACGUGUGGCGCCACUGAUAGUACCCGGAGAAAAAGCAUCGGCUAACUCCGUGCCAGCAGCCGCGGUAAUACGGAGGAUGCGAGCGUUCUCCGGAUUUAUUGGGUUUAAAGGGUGCGUAGGCGGAUCGUUAAGUCAGUGGUCAAAUUGAGGGGCUCAACCCCUUCCCGCCGUUGAAACUGGCGUUCUUGAGUGGGAGAGAGGUAUGCGGAAUGCGUGGUGUAGCGGUGAAAUGCAUAGAUAUCACGCAGAACCCCGAUUGCGAAGGCAGCAUGCCGGCUUCCGACUGACGCUGAAGCGCGAAAGCGUGGGGAUCGAACAGGAUUAGAUACCCGAGUAGUC